CUGGUGUUGUGGUCAGGACUGGCUGGUGUAGGCAGCAGACCUGAGGGAACCAUGACGACAUGGUCUGAGGGAACCAUGACGACGUGGUCUGAGGGAACCAUGACGACGUGGUCUCCUGUGUGACCUUCCAGCCCUGCCCUCGUCACUGUGUUUGUUUACAAGUGUUUGUUUAUUUGUUGACAGGCGUGGCCCCACUGACAGUCUGCAGCAUCUGGAGGAGAAGGGGACAUCAUCCAACUCAGAUUCAGCCAAUAGCUGAGUUGUAAAUCGGACAUAGGUGAGACAAGGCAGCUUCUUCCCACAAUCCUUCACUCCAGCCCUGGACCCGGUGAUCCGGAACACUGCCCUGCACACGCACUCCUCUCUCUCUCUUUCUCUCUCUCUCUCUCUCUCUCUCUUUCUCUCUCUCUCUCUCUCUCUCUCUUUCUCUCUGUCUCUCUCUCUCUGUCUCUCCUCUCGUUUCUCUCUCUCUCGUUUCUCUCUCUCACCCCCUGUCCUGUCUGAGUUCAGGAGUGGUGUGGUGAAGGUUCAGGAGGCUUUCCCUGCUGCCCAAUAAGAAAGCAGGAGUGAGACUCUCCGGCCAAUAGGACUUCAGCAGUGGGAGUCCCCAGCCAAUAGGACAACGGCAGCGGGAGUCCUCAGCCAAUAGGACGUCAGUGUUGAUGCUGAGUCAGCAUGAGGAGGCCAGGCUGCUGAACACCAGCUCCUCCCCCCUCCGCAGGGCUCCUCCCCCCUCCCCUCCCCCUGUCUUCAUGUGUCUACAGCCCCCCGGCUGUUCCACCCUCGGCUCGCCCCCCCUCCGCCGCAGCCACCACGGCGACCCCCCCCAGCCCAGACAUGCCCACCGAGACAGUGGCCCCCCUGCCAGAUAGCAAGCCCCCCAGCCCUGGCGCGGCCUUCGCCUCCGCCGUACCCCUCCGCAUCCUAAACAAGGGCCCGGACUACUUCCGGAGGCAGAUAGAGCCCAACCCCAAGAGGCUGAGCGCGGUGGAGCGUCUGGAGGCGGACAAGUCCAAGUACGUCAAGAGCCAGGAAGUCAUCAAUGCUAAGCAGGAGCCAAUCAAGCCUCAGCUCCUGGCCAAGCCUCCAGUGUGCCCCGCCCUCGCCAAGAGAGGGGCGGGAGGAGGAGGAGGAGGAGGAGGCGUGGCAUUGUUCAAGGCGUCCAACAACAACUCCAAGUCGGACACGUGCGCCACGACGACCAAGCGAGAGAACCUGAACCUGGAGAUCCUGAAGAACCUGCUGAACUCCUCGGGCUCCACCUCCGAGGGGCCGACCAAGAGCGCUACGCUGCGGCCGGUGGGCGGAGCUAGGAGCUGGGCCACGCACCGCUCCACCCACGACCUCACGGAGCCCUCCAGCCUCCGCUCCUUCGCCGAAUCCCUCAAAGUCCCGCCUCCCUCGGGUGGGGGAAGGUGGAGCCCCCAGGGGGCCAACCUCAACCUGAGCCGCCGUCUCCUGGAGGAGCGGGGGAGUCGCGGGGGAGGAGGGGGCGACCGCUCCCCCCUCCACGCCUCCCACUCCUCCUCCGACAUCCGGCGGCUGUGCAACGGCAAGCCCCUCCGGGCCGCUCGGUCCAGCUCCAGCUCGGCACCCCCUCUCCCCCCGAAGCCCAGCCCCAAGUCCCUCCCUCCCGCCCUGGGCAACCCGGCCUCAGCCUCGGCCUGCGACAACGCCACCCUCCAGCCCUGCGACAGCGAGCCCAGCGCUCCCCUCCCGGGCUCGGCCCCAGGCUUGGGAGGAGGCCCCGCGGAUCUGGAGCUGGAACUGGGCAGCUCCGUGGCCCGCCGGCCCUCGCUGCACCGCUCCAAGUCGGACCUGAGCGACCGCUACGCCCGGGCGGGGGCGGACGUGGAGCGCUUCUUCAACUACUGCGGUCUGGAUCCCGAGGAGCUGGAGAGCGUCGGCGUGGAAGGGUUCGCCCGCGCCAACUCCGACAUCAUCUCCCUCAACUUCCGUAGCGCCAGCAUGAUCAGCUCGGACUGCGACCAAUCGCGGCGCAGCAACGAGGAGCUGACGGACGAGGAGGAGGAAGAGGCCGGGGAGCGCGUGCCCUACGGGAUCUCGGCGGUGGAGAGGAACGCGCGUGUCAUCAAGUGGCUGUACAGCAUCAAGCAGGCUCGGGAGUCACAGAAGGUGUCCCACGUCUAGGCGAGCAGACGCAUUUGGACAGACGGACUCGCGGAAACGACCGGCGGACGGAUGACAGUGUUGCGAACUGGUUACCAGACCGCCCCCCCCCCCCUCCCCGUGGUGCAGUCUUCCAGGUCUUCGGAAAUCAGACUUUUAGAAGAUCUGUGAGGCUGGGCUCUCGGGGUGACCUCUGACUGUCUGGAGGUCAAAGGUUAGAAGUCGAGGGUUGUUAAGGACUCUAGAGGUCGAUUCCUCGAACUUCGGUGUUUGUUGUUCUCCAAACCUGCAUGACUCCUCCCCCUUCUCCUCGGCAGUCCCGCCCCCAGCCAGCACGGCCUCCUGAUCCAGCAGGUCUAGGAAAAACAAGAGCCUUUUUUUCAAGAUGGACGCCUUUUUCUCAGCGCCGUCUCUCUUAAUCUCUGUAUCUGGAUCCCUGAGUCCCCACAACACCUUUCUUUUUUACCUUGAAAUAUGCACUUGCCCUAUCCACUCUUUGCGGAUACCAAAAGCCCCAUUGUGGUAGGUGCAUGUGCACACCAUUCCCGGGGGAAGUGCAGAUCUCAGGGGAGGAGCGUUGGAGUGUUGGGAUGAGGGGAUCUCCUCUUUCAUUAUUUCUCUCUGUCGUCGUUGUCUUUUGCUUUCAUUUGUCUGACCAGCAGAACCCUGAUGCCAGCCAUACUUAGGUGUGUCCCUCUAGAUCAGGCACCCCUCCAGGUCUCGGUUCCUCCAGGUCUUGGUUCCUGUAGAUCUUGGUUCCUCCAGGACUUGGUUCCUCCAGGACUUGGUUUCUCCAGGUCUUGGUUCCUGUAGAUCUUGGUUCCUCCAGGUCUUGGUUCCUGUAGAUCUUGGUUCCUCCAGGUCUUGGUUCCUCCAGGUCUUGGUUCCUGUAGAUCUUGGUUCCUCCAGGUCUUGGUUCAUCUAGAUCUUGGUUCCUCCAGGUCUUGGUUCCUCCAGGUCUUGGUUCCUGUAGAUCUUGGUUCCUCCAGGUCUUGGUUCCUCCAGGUCUUGGUUCCUGUAGAUCUUGGUUCCUCCAGGUCUUGGUUCCUCUAGAUCAGGCACUCCUCUU